AUUGAACGCUGGCGGCAGGCCUAACACAUGCAAGUCGAGCGAGCGGCGGACGGGUGAGUAAUGUCUGGGAAACUGCCUGAUGGAGGGGGAUAACUACUGGAAACGGUAGCUAAUACCGCAUACCAUCAGAUGUGCCCAGAUGGGAUUAGCUAGUAGGUGGGGUACAGGCUAACCUAGGCGACGAUCCCUAGCUGGUCUGAGAGGAUUACCAGCCAAACUGGAACGUAGACACGGUCCCGACUCCUACGGGAGGCAGCAGUGGGGAAUAUUGCACAAUGGGCGCAAGCCUGAUGCAGCCAUGCCGCGUGUAUGAAGAAGGCCUUCGGGUUGUAAAGUACUUUCAGCGGGGAGGCGUUACCCGCAGAAGAAGCACCGGCUAACUCCGUGCCAGCAGCCGCGGUAAUUC
rnacentral:rRNA from 1 species